rnacentral:sRNA from 1 species
CUAACCAUAUUCAAAUGGGAGGUAAAAACGAUGGUGCUGCUGAUAACAGCAAAACUGAUCACAGUGAUA